CUACGGAGGGUGCGAGCGUUAAUCGGAAUUACUGGGCGUAAAGCGUACGUAGGCGGUUGGUUAAGUUAGAUGUGAAAGCCCCGGGCUUAACCUGGGAACUGCAUUUAAAACUGGCGAACUAGAGUUGAUUAGAGGGGAGUGGAAUUUCAGGUGUAGCGGUGAAAUGCGUAGAGAUCUGAAGGAACACCAGUGGCGAAGGCGACUCCCUGGACUCGAACUGACGCUGAGGUACGAAAGCGUGGGUAGCAAACGGAAUUAGAUACCCCAGUAGUCC
rnacentral:rRNA from 1 species